rnacentral:rRNA from 1 species
UGGGGAAUUUUGGACAAUGGGCGAAANCCUGAUCCAGCAAUGCCGCGUGUGUGAAGAAGGCCUUCGGGUUGUAAAGCACUUUUGUCCGGAAAGAAAUCCUUGGCUCUAAUACAGUCGGGGGAUGACGGUACCGGAAGAAUAAGCACCGGCUAACUACGUGCCAGCAGCCGCGGUAAUACGUAGGGUGCAAGCGUUAAUCGGAAUUACUGGGCGUAAAGCGUGCGCAGGCGGUUUGCUAAGACCGAUGUGAAAUCCCCGGGCUCAACCUGGGAACUGCAUUGGUGACUGGCAGGCUAGAGUAUGGCAGAGGGGGGUAGAAUUCCACGUGUAGCAGUGAAAUGCGUAGAGAUGUGGAGGAAUACCGAUGGCGAAGGCAGCCCCCUGGGCCAAUACUGACGCUCAUGCACGAAAAGCGUGGGGGAGCAAAACAGGAUUAGAUACCCUGGUAGUCCACGCCCUAAACGAUGUCAACUAGUUGUUGGGGAUUCAUUUCCUUAGUAACGUAGCUAACGCGUGAAGUUGACCGCCUGGGGAGUACGGUCGCAAGAUUAAAACUUAAAUGAAUUG